rnacentral:lncRNA from 1 species
GGGAGUUGAGAUAUGCAAGGCAGUUUUGUCAUGCACUUCAGUCACACCCCCAGAUUUAGUUGAAGAACCAUCAGUUCCCGGUUGAUGCCAGUUUCGCAGCAUUAAGGUAAAGAACAUAAAUACCAGGAUUGUGACUUCCCCAAAAGAGGUGCGGCUUCUGGAUAUGAAAGGUUUAUUUAGAUUUAUCUCUUCCAAAAACCAUUUUAUCAAAUUCUCCAAUCCUAUGCUUUGAGGUUCUGAACCGUCAGCAAAGGGUCCACCAACAGCUGAAGACAAUCUGUAGAAGAGCUGCAUGACUGGAAUAGCCCCUGUUCCUGAAGUAGUUUCCAUCCAUCCUUUCAGUUGCUCAAGUAGCUCAGAAAGAAGGAGAGAGUUAACAGCUCUCUUGGAAGCAGAAAUAGUAACAGGAUCAAGUAUUGAAGCUGAAAACUCUUCCGAUUCAUUUGGAUCCAACUCGUGGAUAGAUGGAGCAGAAAUUUGCAUCACCACCCCCAAAAGAGGUGCGGCUUCUGGAUAUGAAAGGUUUAUUUAGAUUUAUCUCUUCCAAAAACCAUUUUAUCAAAUUCUCCAAUCCUAUGCUUUGAGGUUCUGAACCGUCAGCAAAGGGUCCACCAACAGCUGAAGACAAUCUGUAGAAGAGCUGCAUGACUGGAAUAGCCCCUGUUCCUGAAGUAGUUUCCAUCCAUCCUUUCAGUUGCUCAAGUAGCUCAGAAAGAAGGAGAGAGUUAACAGCUCUCUUGGAAGCAGAAAUAGUAACAGGAUCAAGCAUUGAAGCUGAAAACUCUUCCGAUUCAUUUGGUUCCAACUCGUGGAUUGAUGGAGCAGAACUUUGCACACCAACAUCAGAUGCAACUGUCAACAAACC